GUUAGCAUCACUGUAACGAUAACGGCUAGCAGUUAUCACCGCUGGGUUAGCGUCAAGACAGAAGCUUGCGCUUGGUCAAUGCACUUAAGUAACUAAGUGCUGUAGGAGACCAUGGUUCAAUUCCCUCCACCUCGACCAAGCACCCCCAUACAGUAAGAUGGGAAUGGAAACACCCAAAACACAAACCACUCCUAAUAAAGACGAAUGGGCUGCAUCUGGAAUGGCACGUAGUGCACUACUUUUGACCAGCGCCCUAUGGGUAGUAGUGCACUACUUUUGACCAGAGCCCUAUGGGUAGUAGUGCACUACUUUUGACCAGCGCCCUAUGGGUAGUAGUGCACUACUUUAGACCAGCACCCUAUGGGUAGUAGUGCACCAUGUAGGGAAUAGGGUGCCAUUCCGGACAGUGCAGUCUUCAGUGAGGGGAUUGUAAUAAUAAGUGGUGCUGUCGGUCAUUACAGGGAGAUCUGAUCUCCCCCUUACAUCCCUUCUGUCCUCCUCUAGCCCAAAACCAUCAGGAUCACAAUGGUCAUAUUCAUAGAAACACACACUCAUACACUUCCAGGUACACAGUAAGAAGGCUUAAAAUCCUGCAUUUCAUAAGAGUAGAGUAUUGAGGAAAGAACUGACUGACAGAAAAGGGGACUUGGUCCUACUAUGUACAUUGCCAGAGUCGGGCUAACGUUUCCCUUAAAACAAAACAAAACAAAAUCUGCGUUCCCCAAAACAUUGUCCUCUCCACCUGACAGCAGUAUGUCUCCAUCGCCGUGACGACCUCAGGAGCAGAGCAUAUAAUGCUAUACCAUCCCCUUUCUACAAAAAUACUUGGUAGCAAAAUAGAAUCUACAUUACAAAAGAAAGGGGACGAGUGUGAAAAUAAGCAUGCAUUAGAUUUUUUUCUAGAUGUAUAUACACAUGUUUUUGGGGGGGGGUGAGAGUAGCACCCCCUGCUGGAUCUGAGUGAGUACUACAUCAAAGAAACAACACUAAUAAUACAGACCAUAGUACAGGU
rnacentral:lncRNA from 13 species